CCGCGAUUACUAGCGAUUCCAGCUUCACGCAGUCGAGUUGCAGACUGCGAUCCGAACUGAGAACAGAUUUGUGGGAUUGGCUUAACCUCGCGGUUUCGCUGCCCUUUGUUCUGUCCAUUGUAGCACGUGUGUAGCCCAGGUCAUAAGGGGCAUGAUGAUUUGACGUCAUCCCCACCUUCCUCCGGUUUGUCACCGGCAGUCACCUUAGAGUGCCCAACUGAAUGCUGGCAACUAAGAUCAAGGGUUGCGCUCGUUGCGGGACUUAACCCAACAUCUCACGACACGAGCUGACGACAACCAUGCACCACCUGUCACUCUGCCCCCGAAGGGGACGUCCUAUCUCUAGGAUUGUCAGAGGAUGUCAAGACCUGGUAAGGUUCUUCGCGUUGCUUCGAAUUAAACCACAUGCUCCACCGCUUGUGCGGGCCCCCGUCAAUUCCUUUGAGUUUCAGUCUUGCGACCGUACUCCCCAGGCGGAGUGCUUAAUGCGUUAGCUGCAGCACUAAGGGGCGGAAACCCCCUAACACUUAGCACUCAUCGUUUACGGCGUGGACUACCAGGGUAUCUAAUCCUGUUCGCUCCCCACGCUUUCGCUCCUCAGCGUCAGUUACAGACCAGAGAGUCGCCUUCGCCACUGGUGUUCCUCCACAUCUCUACGCAUUUCACCGCUACACGUGGAAUUCCACUCUCCUCUUCUGCACUCAAGUUCCCCAGUUUCCAAUGACCCUCCCCGGUUGAGCCGGGGGCUUUCACAUCAGACUUAAGAAACCGCCUGGAGCCCUUUACGCCCAAUAAUUCCGGACAACGCUUGCCACCUACGUAUUACCGCGGCUGCUGGCACGUAGUUAGCCGUGGCUUUCUGGUUAGGUACCGUCAAGGUGCCGCCCUAUUUGAACGGCACUUGUUCUUCCCUAACAACAGAGCUUUACGAUCCGAAAACCUUCAUCACUCACGCGGCGUUGCUCCGUCAGACUUUCGUCCAUUGCGGAAGAUUCCCUACUGCUGCCUCCCGUAGGAGUCUGGGCCGUGUCUCAGUCCCAGUGUGGCCGAUCACCCUCUCAGGUCGGCUACGCAUCGUCGCCUUGGUGAGCCGUUACCUCACCAACUAACUAAUGCGCCCCGGGGCCAUCCUGAAAUGGUAACCCAAACCACCU
rnacentral:rRNA from 1 species